AGAGUUUGAUUCUGGCUUCAGGGUGAACGCUAGCGGCAGGCUUAACACAUGCAAGUCGAGGGGGCAGCAUGUCCCAGCAAUGGAUGAUGGCGACCGGCGGAAAGGGUGCGUAACGCGUGAGCAACAUGCCCUAUACAGGGAGAUACACCAGGGAAACUUGGUCUAAUAUCCCAUAGCAUUCAUUGAAGGCAUCUUUAAUGAAUUAAAGCUUCGGUGGUAUAGGAUUGGCUCGCGUGACAUUAGCCAGAUGGUGAGGUAACGGCUCACCAUAGCAAUGAUGUCUAGGGGUUUUGAGAGGAAGGCCCCCCACACUGGGACUGAGACACGGCCCAGACUCCUACGGGAGGCAGCAGUGAGGAAUAUUGGACAAUGGAUGGAAAUCUGAUCCAGCCAUGCCGCGUGCAGGAAGACGGCCUUAUGGGUUGUAAACUGCUUUUAUACGGGAGCAAUAAGGGUUACGAGUAAUCCGAUGAGAGUACUGUAUGAAUAAGGAUCGGCUAACUCCGUGCCAGCAGCCGCGGUAAUACGGAGGAUCCGAGCGUUAUCCGGAAUUAUUGGGUUUAAAGGGUGCGUAGGCGGCCAUUUAAGUCUGCGGUGAAAUUUUGCAGCUUAACUGUAACAGUGCCGUUGAUACUGUUUGGCUAGGAUUUGGUUGUAGUGUGCGGAAUGUGUGGUGUAGCGGUGAAAUGCUUAGAUAUCACACAGAACACCGAUUGCGAAGGCAGCACACUAAGUCAUUAUUGACGCUGAGGCACGAAAGUGUGGGGAUCAAACAGGAUUAGAUACCCUGGUAGUCCACACUGUAAACGAUGAUAACUCGCUGUCGGCGAUACACAGUCGGUGGCCAAGCGAAAGCAUUAA
rnacentral:rRNA from 1 species